GGCCCUCGGCUGACGGCUCAGUAACACGUGGAUAAUCUGCCCUUAGGUGGAGGAUAAUCUCGGGAAACUGAGGAUAAUACUCCAUAGAUCUAGGAUGCUGGAAUGCAUCUAGAUUGAAAGCUCCGGCGCCUAAGGAUGAGUCUGCGGACUAUCAGGUUGUAGUCAGGGUAAAGACCUGACUAGCCUACGACGGAUACGGGUUGUGAGAGCAAUAACCCGGAGACGAUAUCUGAGACACGAUAUCGGGCCCUACGGGGCGCAGCAGGCGCGAAAACUUCACACUGUGCGAAAGCGCGAUGAGGGAAUCCCAAGUGUUUGCUCGUAAGAGUAAACUGUUUCUUUGUUUAAAACGCAGAGAGAGUAAGGGCUGGGUAAGACGGGUGCCAGCCGCCGCGGUAAUACCUGCAGCUCAAGUGGUGAUCAUUAUUAUUGGGUCUAAAACGUCCGUAGCCGGUUUAGUAAAUGCCUGGGUAAAUCGUGUAGCUUAACUAUACGACUUCCGGGUAGACUACUAAACUUGAGACCGGGAGAGGCUAGAGGUACUCCUGGGGUAGAGGUGAAAUUCUGUAAUCCUAGGGGGACCACCAGUGGCGAAGGCGUCUAGCUAGAACGGGUCUGACGGUGAGGGACGAAGCCCUGGGGCACAAACCGGAUUAGAUACCCGGGUAGUCCAGGGUGUAAACGCUGCUUGCUUGAUGUUAGUUGGGCUCCGAGUCCAACUAGUGUCGGAGAGAAGUUGUUAAGCAAGCUGCCUGGGAAGUACGGUCGCAAGGCUGAAACUUAAAGGAAUUGGCGGGGGAGCACAGCAACGGGUGGAGCGUGCGGUUUAAUUGGAUUCAACGCCGGA
rnacentral:rRNA from 1 species